GCAAUAGGUAUAAAACAUUGUUGAUAUCUGAUGCAUUAACGCUCCACCUGUGCACUAAGAAUGUUCAGAUUUUCUUUUUCUCCAAACAGAUUUUUGUCAAAUUGUGGUCGCUUCGUUGGCAAGGUAAAGAAUUCUCGAACCUAAAAAGAACAGCUACUAGGGAGUACUCCACAGUAAUAAGCACUGAAAUUAAUGAGCCCUCACAGGUGAGAGAGAUGAACACAGAGAUCGAAAUUAACAAAGAGCGCUGCACGGCGGUGGCCAUGGCAGCGUCGCGAAGGAGGUUCCCCUCCCUGCCCGCAUGGAGUCGACGACGACGAGUGCCCCAGCCACGAGGGCGCUUCGUUUCUUCCGGUAACUUCGGCCUCCGGCCUCCGCCGUUAUAUAAAUAGUGCCGAGCUCUCACCCCCACAUGUUUUAAACUGCUACGCCUACAACACGCCUCCCCAGUCAACACAGCUCAGCUCAGCUCGGCUAGCGAGCUCCUCGCUCGGCUCUACUAGCUAGUGUGUUGGGACUUGGGAGCUAGGCGGGGUUGAUUGCGAUUGGGGGAGGCGGGAGUAGGUGAUGUACGGCGCGCCGUUGCCCAAGGACCUGAACCUGCCAGCAGCCCUGCCGCAGCCGACCAGGACGCCACCGCAGCAGCAGAUGGGCUCCCCGGGACUGCUGCGGUACAGGUCAGCGCCGAGCACGCUGCUCGGCGAGGUGAUGUGUGGUGGUGAUCAGGACUUCCCCGCGGCUGGCGGCGCAGGGCACGGACCACCGGACCACGCCGCCGCGGACAACGUCCUCGCGCGCUUUCUCGCCGGGCACCACUCCGAGACCCGCGACUGCAAGCCUCCCCGCCCCGCCGCCGCCGCUCACUUCAUGGACGAAGCUGCCGUCGCGUCCAUGGCCGCCUCACAGCAGCAGCAGCUCAUGUACCAGUCGCAGCAGGAGCAGCAGAUGGCCGCCAUGGAGGGGCUGUACCGCAACGUCAGCUCCGGCGGCACGGAGCACGGUGCAGCCGUUGGCGCUGGUAACAACAGCCUGAUCCGCCAGAGCAGCUCCCCCGCCGGCUUCCUCAACCACUUGAACAUGGACAACGGGUACGGGAGCAUGCUCCGGGUGGGCAUGGGCGGCGGCGGGUUCAGGAACGGCGUCAGCGACGCGCGGCUCAAGGGGCAGCUGAGCUUCUCGUCCCGGCAGGGGUCGGUGAUGUCGCAGAUCUCGGAGGUGGGCAGCGAGGAGCUCGACGGAGGCGGCGGCAGCGGCAGCCCCGAGGCGGCCGGCAGCAACGCCAGCGGCGCGGCGCGUGGGUACAGCGGCAUCCCGGGGUACCCGAUGGGCGGCCUCGCGUCCGGCGCCUGGCCGGACGAGGCGUCGCCGUCGCCGACGUCCGGCGCGAAGCGCCCCCGCGACUCCGGCCCCGCGCUGCAGCAGCCGCUGGCGCCGCAGCUCAGCCUGCCCAGCGGAAAGAACAAGGGCGGCAGGGCGGCCUCGGCGGAGAUGGCGGCGAUCGAGAAGUUCCUCCAGUUCCAGGACGCCGUCCCCUGCAAGAUCCGCGCCAAGCGCGGGUGCGCCACCCACCCGCGCAGCAUCGCCGAGCGGGUGAGGAGGACGAAGAUCAGCGAGCGGAUACGGAAGCUGCAGGAGCUCGUGCCCAACAUGGAAAAGCAAACCAACACUGCCGACAUGCUGGAUCUGGCCGUGGACUACAUCAAGGAUCUUCAGAAGCAGGUCAAGGUACUGAACGACGGCCGCGCCAGCUGCACCUGCUCCGCCGGCGAGCUGCAGGGCCAGUUCACCCGUUAAAAAGGAGCCGCGCCACCUUUUUCUCAGGGGGGCCAGUUCAGCUCGCAUAGUUGCGUUACGUUACAUGUUGAGACCUCGCAAGAGAAGAGCCAAGCUCUGGCGCUUUGGCAUACGAGACCUGUUGAUCCAACACAUACUGGUAUCAGAAAAUAGGCAACAGUCAGCUGAAGAAGGUUCAUCAGAGGACCAUGAGGACAACACAGGAUUACUUGAUCUAGUGCUAUGGGCUGCAGUUGAAGGUGUAUCAUCAUCAUCAGACGAUGAGGACGAGGACGACGACGAGGAGGAGGAGGCGGCGGCCUCUGAUGGCUCUGAAUAGUAGUCAACCGAUCUUUCAGGGUUGUUUCAAAAUUGUAAAUAUACAAUAAUAAGCCAUCACUCUUCUCAUGUAUUAUAUAAUAGAACUAUGAUUUAUUAGCUUGUCAUUUCUAUGUUA